rnacentral:rRNA from 1 species
AAGAGAAUGAUUAAACAAUUAAAAGCUUUCUUUAAUUGAAUAAUUGAAUUUAAUUUUUUAGUGCAAAAGCAAAAAUAAAAAUUAGGGACAAGAAGACCCUAUGAAUUUUUUAUUAAAUUUUAUAAAACUUUAUAUAAAAUUUAAUUUAAUUGGGGUGAUGGAAAAAGAAUAAAUAUCUUUUUUUUUAAAAAAAUUGGUUCCGUUUUUAGCGAUUAAAUGAAAAAAAUACUCUAGGGAUAACAGCGUAAUAAUUUUGGAUAGUUCAUAUAGAUAAAAUAGUUUGCGACCUCGAUGUUGGAUUAGGAUUCUUUUUUGGUGAAGAAGUUAAAAAAAGAAGUUUGUUCAACUUAUAAUUUCCU